AGCUCCAAUAGCAUAUAUUAAAGUUGUUGCGGUUAAAAAGCUCGUAGUUGGAUCUCUGCUGAGGACGAUCGCUCCGCCCUCUGGGUGAGUAUCUGGUUCGGCCUUCGCAUCUUCUUGAAGAACGUAACUGCAGUUGACUGUGUGGUGCGGCAUGCAAGACUUUUACUUUGAGGAAAUUAGAAUGUUUGAAGUAGGCACAUGCCUUGAAUACAUUAGCAUGGACUACUGUGAUAGGACCUUGGUUCUAUUUUGUUGAUUUCUAGAAUUGAGGUAAUGAUUAAUAGGGACAGUUGGGGGCAUUCGUAUUUAAUUGUCAGAGGUGUAAUUCUUGGAUUUGUUAAAGACGGACUACUGCGAAAGCAUUUGCCAAGGAUGUUUUCAUUGAUCAAGAACGAAAGUA
rnacentral:rRNA from 1 species